rnacentral:rRNA from 1 species
CCUACGGGAGGCAGCAGUGGGGAAUAUUGGACAAUGGGGGGAACCCUGAUCCAGCCAUGCCGCGUGUGUGAAGAAGGCCCUCGGGUUGUAAAGCACUUUCAGUGAGGAAGAACGCCUGGUGGUUAAUACCCAUCAGGAAAGACAUCACUCACAGAAGAAGCACCGGCUAACUCCGUGCCAGCAGCCGCGGUAAUACGGAGGGUGCGAGCGUUAAUCGGAAUUACUGGGCGUAAAGCGCGCGUAGGUGGCUUGAUAAGCCGGUUGUGAAAGCCCCGGGCUCAACCUGGGAACGGCAUCCGGAACUGUCAAGCUAGAGUGCAGGAGAGGAAGGUAGAAUUCCCGGUGUAGCGGUGAAAUGCGUAGAGAUCGGGAGGAAUACCAGUGGCGAAGGCGGCCUUCUGGACUGACACUGACACUGAGGUGCGAAAGCGUGGGUAGCAAACAGGAUUAGCUACCCCUGUAGUC